CCCUUGAAUUCACUGUCACUGACACUUUCAUCGCUGUUAGAGCUAUCACUUGGGAACAAAAGACCUCCAAUCCGCCGAGGAGUGAGGAACUUCUUACCGAGAGGCAUGGUGAAAAUGGACUGACAACAUGGCGUUCCCACAAUGCACCGCUAGGUCCCAGAUUUUUUUCACAGGGUGCACACCGACCACUGAGACCCAUUCUCUCCCGUGUAGGCCUAUCAGGCCUUUGGCGCUCGAUUUGAAGCCGCUAGAAUUUGUGCGUAUAAAUACGUCAGAAACAUUGGCUCGUAAGACGUAUUUAUACGUCGGAAACAGUCAAAGGGUUAAUGUAAAUUACUUUUGUUAUCAUACUUUUAAGAAAUUAAAAUAUAUUUAGUGAAAAAAUAGUUUUUUUUUUUAUGUAGACAAAUAAAAGUCCUAAUAUUUAGGGCACUCCGUUUAAUCUUAAUAUCUUAGUAGUAUGGAAACAACUUUUUUUUAUUAUAUUAGGAAUAUUACAAAUAAGCCACCUUUUUAUUGCUUAAUAAUGUAUAAUAUAUGUGACUGACUAAGUCAUGGUUCACUGCCCAAAUUGUAUAAAUAUAAUUUUUAUACAUUAAAUAUAGUAAAAACUUAUUAUGUAAUUUUUCAGGUAAUUUCUUUUCUUUAUUAAACAUUUGAAAGCAUUCUUAAAUUUAUGAUAUGGAUGCUUAACUAUGUCUAUGGACUGAUUAUUAUCAGAGGCCAUUAAUUGUGGUUGAAAUGUAGAAAACUUUUUUUUUUCUAGCACUGUAUGAUGCAUUUGGUGCUGAAAAAUUCCUACAUUGAUGUGAAAUAUGCAAGUGUUUUUAAUAAUUUAACUAGUCACUGUAUAUAAAUGGCAUUUUUGCUUAUAAUAAGAAAAUUAAAUAUGCAUUUUUAUAUUGCUCAUUAGAUAUCAUUGGAGUAUAAUAAUUGUACAAAUACUUACAUGUACUGUAUAUUGUUGCUAUUAUUUCAAUUAUGUCAGUGAUAGUUAUUUUGAGAUGUACAGUAAACCCUCAAUGAAACUGACUAAUAGGGAGGAUUGUCAGUGUCUUGUUAAGGGCUGUGGUCCCUCUUGUGGGUUGGCAGAUACUAAAAAGUGGAUUUUGACCACAAUUUUAAACGUUCAUUAUAUUGAAGGUUUACUAUACAAGAAAUUUCUUAGGUUUUGUUAAUGCACGUAACUCUCAUUGGAUUUUUUUAUUUCAUACCUAUACCUUACGUAUUCUGCCCUAUCCUGGAUACAUUGUUUAAGCAUAUUCUGAGCAAACCUAGAUAGGGACAGAAGAAAAGGUUCGCUAAGCAAAAAUUAUAUUAUGUGAAUUGUACUCUUCUACUGAAGCCCAUGUUUUAACUCGAUAUGUGGACCACAGUAAUAAUCUUGCACAUAUAAUUCGUAUUAUUUUUUUUUGGGGGGGGGGGGAUGGGGGUGGAAUUCAUAACUACACACUGUACUCAUGAGGGAUACGCUUCCUUGUUCCCAUUCCUUGCCUCUUCCUUUCCCAUUCUAUCCUCUCCCAGAUGAGAAUUAUUAUUACAUUCAUAAGGGGAGAAGGUACUCAGAAAUUAGCAAAGUAGCAGGUCUAAAAGGUCUGCUUGCUGGUAAUACCAUUGUUAUAGUAGUACUCAAGAGUGGUUGAAGUUGAAAAACUAUAUCUUUGAAAAUAAAUAAAACCAAACCAGGUCAACCAGGCUGUGGCGGAUAUGUAGGCCAGAAAGCUGCCAACAGCGCAACAGCCUGGAUGACCAGACAAGCCUGGCCUAGGGCUAGACUCCAGGAGUAGAAAAACUCCAAACUCAUCAGGGGUAAACCAGAAUAAUAGUGCUUGUAAAAUAAGAUGGCAUUUCUGACUUGAUCUAACCAUUAUACAGCUAACUACCUCAAGCUUUGGAGCCGUCAUAUCUCAUCUAAUUUGAUGAUGAUAAUUUUAUCUCUGACAUAUCAAAGAGUAAUGUACCAAAAUUUGACUAUGCAUUGUUCCACUGAUGGUAAAUAUAUUUUAUGUAUAAACAGAUGAUAAUACAGUGGAACCUUGGUACUCGAACAAUUUGGUAUUCAAACGCUUUGUUUGGUAAAAAAAAAAAAAAUUGCUCAGUAGUUGACUGUUUGCUUGGCACUCAACCAAAGAAACACAACCUGCCAGAACUUCGCUGUAAACUAUUUCGUGUUUCUUCACUUUUUUUUUUUUUUUUUUUUGUAUAAAUAAGUCACCAAAGGGCCUAAGAAGAUUAGUGAUAACAGCCAACCAAAAAGAAAAUUGGUUGGGAAAAAUUUGUUCAGUACUCGAACACCCUUCUGGAACAAAUUAAGUUCGAGUACCGAGGUACUACUGAAAUUACAUAAAUCUGUAUAUGUAUAUUCAAAGUUAGCAGAGAGUUGCCUGUAUUAACAAAGUGCAUUAAAUAUGUUUUAAUAUAUUGUGUGAAAGCUGUAAGAAGAUAUAUAAUUAUUAAAAGCAAAUCUUUAAACUAGGAAAAGCUGUGUGCAUAGGCAACAUAUUCAUGGUUUCACAAAUAAUUAAUUUUAUACUCUUAAAACUGUUUAUUGUUUAUUAAGAUAUGAAUAAUCAGUCACAAUUGCCUUCAGAUUAUAUUCAUGUUCAUUUGACCUGAACCUCUUUGAUUACAUGAUAGAUUUACUGUACUUGUACUAUUUCCUAUCAUGUGAUCUGUGGAUCUAUACAUGUGUAUUGUCCAGAUAAACCUGUUAAAAAUAUCACAUCACAUUACUUCACAAAAAUAGAAAAUCAGUGGCACCAUAGCACUGUUCCCGAGGAUCUAACUCGUGUCACCACUGGCAUCCAAGUGCCUUUUCAGAGCACCUGUGCCUUGUCCCUAUGAAACUCGUACUGAGAGGGAUGUUAGAAUUACUUCAUCUAUAGCAACAUCUGUGAGCCACCAGCAGCAACAGCCUGGCUAACCAGGCAAACAUCAGAUGAGCUUGGCCCAUAGCCGAGCUUUGGGAGUAGAAAGACUCUCGGAACUCACCAAAGCUAAAGAUCCUCCAGUUUUGGUGCAGAGCUUGCUUGAGCAUAGCGCUGCAGCAUGUGUCGACGCAGUGAUGCCAGCAGCUUCUCCACUCGCUCCCACCGCUCAUCUAACUCCCACAAGAACAAGCUUAAGGCGCCUAAAUUCAGGCACAUCUUCAGCUCGUAGCUGAAGGACCCGUAGCCGUACGCUGGCAUCUAGAUCAGCUUCUGUGCAAAAGUCUCCCUCAUAGCUAUCAAUCUCAAACACAGGUGACCUGGUCCUCACCUGUAGAUGAUUCACCAGAGCAGCAUUGCUUGGGUCGUUCGGAUCAAUGCGAGCAUUCUCUAGCCACUUUUUAACAACUGCUGGGUUGGCUCUUGGAUGGAGAGGUGAGUGGGUGGAUACAGUUGAUGGCGGAGGCCCUGUAGGUGCUAAAAUUUCCCCCUCUUCUCCAAGUGCCCAACCAAGACGGUAAUGCACCACUCCACACGUAAGAUGGUGACCAUAUUCAGAUUCUGGAAGACCACAUCCAACUCCUUCAUGCUUGUAGCUCACUACCUGGUGAUGCAGCAGUGAGCUCUAUGAUACAGCCAAAAAAAACCACAAACUCUAGAUGAUAUUUGUUUUGCUGGGAACCGGAAGGAACGUUGAAGCCACAAGAGUCUGUCUCAGACUUGCUCCCUCCAUGACUUGCAGCACAAUACUACGAGGCCAUGAAGAAAGAGCCAUUCUGUCUGGGAGGCUGAGGCUUGGAUAUUUCUGGACUUGACAGUAUGGUCUCAUCCUGAGCAGCUUGAAGUAGAAAGCCUUCUAAAUUCUCACUGAGUGCAGACUUCUGUCGUUGUUGCUGACGUUUCUUAGCUUCUUUCUAA